ACCUGAACCAAUUCAUCCACCUGGCCCUGGCACUGGCCAGCAAAUACCAGCCUCGUGACUCGUUACUCAAAGGUGCUGUUAUGGAAGUGCUGCCUACCAUGUUCUAUGAAAAUUCGCACUCUGAAGAUACUCCACUUCAUAACUGUGGACACUUACUUGGCCCAAGAAACUGCUGUGUGUGCAGGUGCUACCUGGCCCUCUUUAUGUCACCUUGUGGGGAUUGAGCUUUGGAGAACCAGCACAAGAAAAUGCUGCUAUUCUGGCUAUUGCUAUCUUGUCUACAAAGAAGAAGAGUGCUAACUCUAUGCUCACGAGGCCGUGAGAGGACUUUCGCAGAUCCUGUACAGAGGCAGAAGACUCAGCUUCCUGGCAUCAGAGUGCAGCAUCCGCCAUGGAGGCAGACAACCAAUAACAUCGACCUGUGGAUUCCUUUAUCUUCUCAUGCCAUUUCCUGUGAGCAGCCUCACAAGGCCAAAGGCAGGCUGGGGAAAGCGCCACCUGCAAAGCCACAGGCUCCCCCUUGCUACAAGCAGCCGCAUUCCUUGCAACCUUUAAAACCCUUUGCCUCCCAUCCUUCAGAGAGAUGAGGCAAAUAUGAGGGCUCACUCUCAUCUCCUGGCUAACGUCACCUGAAAUAAAAACCAUUUCCUUUCC
rnacentral:lncRNA from 1 species